GAUAUUGGUCAAUGGGGGAAACCCUGAACCAGCAAUGCCGCGUGAGGGAAGAAGGUCUUCGGAUUGUAAACCUAAGUAGUCAGGGACGAAAGAAAUGACGGUACCUGAAGAGUAAGCUCCGGCUAACUACGUGCCAGCAGCCGCGGUAAUACGUAGGGAGCGAGCGUUGUCCGGAUUUACUGGGUGUAAAGGGUGCGUAGGCGGGAUGGCAAGUCAGAUGUGAAAUACCGGGGCUUAACCCCGGGGCUGCAUUUGAAACUGUCGUUCUUGAGUGAAGUAGAGGCAGGCGGAAUUCCUAGUGUAGCGGUGAAAUGCGUAGAUAUUAGGAGGAACACCAGUGGCGAAGGCGGCCUGCUGGGCUUUAACUGACGCUGAGGCACGAAAGCAUGGGGAGCAAACA
rnacentral:rRNA from 1 species